rnacentral:lncRNA from 1 species
GUAGUCCUUAUGAGAAGUCACAGGAUUUAUGAGGUUGAGACACAUUAUGAAUGUACUGACUAAGAGUUGAUAGUUUAACUCUAUAGUUAUCCGGAGCAUUGAAAGUCAAAAGAAUGAAUUAUACAGUAACCAUAUGCCAAAGGUUCUUGAAUGUUGCUUUGCAAUCAUUCGGCCUAUCCGAACAUCAGGUACCUUGCUAAAUGAUCACUUCGAUUAGUACAGAAAUCUAUUCCUAUGCUACCAACAUAGGUUCGAACCU